GAAGAGCGGACAACCUUAACCUGGAGGACGGACAGCAAACUUCCAGUGCUUUCUGCGCAUGGAGAUGAGAUUAUUAGACAGAUGCAGAUCAAAAGAAUUCCCAAGGUGUUCGGCUGUAGCACAGAGAGAGACUUUGGGAUUGGAGGUGUGAAGGCUGUGAGGAUGAUGUGAGGUGGUCUGUGAAGUGAUGGGUAAAUGCAGGAAGCCCAGCCUGGUGCUGGCAGUGACUGCAUCUACCUGGUAUGGGAGCAAAUCCAACAUUAGAGUUUUAAGUGAGCUCGAUUUGAGAGGAGGAGAGUUCAACGACCGUUUAGAUAAAGCAUUCACUAAGAAGAAAUGACUGAAGCCAUCAACUGUCAAUAGCUGCUUGGUUAGGGGCCAGCACUUCUGGACCUCUGGCUGCGGCCUGGGACACAGAGGUAAGUCAUAUGCUGAUUAUCAUGACAAAUUUCACAGAUUUGAAGCUUCAAACUAUUUUAUUUAUUUUGGAAGAAUGUUUUCACGGUAGCCUCGAAGUUAAGAACUAAGGAAAUCUUACUCUGGUUUGUUUCUUUCCAGGUGUCUUUUUUUAAUCUCAUUUUUUUUAAAGUGCGCAUUUAGAGCUACAUUUAGAGGGUCUUGCUUCAGCUACUGUCAAGGAGGCUUGUUAGGAAGUGAGUAAAUGUAAUAAAAAUGCAACUGCACUAAGUGUGUGUCAGCUAAUUUGCAUGUCUGUGGGUCCAAGUGUGGUGCUUGUAGGGAAACAGCUGUCUGCUCUCUGUUCACAUAAGUAUGAAGAUGAGGUGCUUAGAAAGGUGAAUCUCCAUCAAAAAGAGCAAACCAGCGCUGGAAGGAGUUUCAGCAUCAGCCUAUGACUGUGCCAGGCACACAGCAUUUACGUCAACACAGAAAGAGAAUCUGCUUAGUAAGUUCAUUAGAUAAAAAGGGGUGCACAACAUAGGGGGCACGGUACCUUUACUUUGUGUCUUUCAAUUUCAUAGACAAUUAUUUUAUUCUAGAAAGGUCACAAAUUUCUAAAACUAAAUACAAAUUUAUUGACAAGAAAAUGAACUCUGCAAGUCAAUUAGCCCCCGCCUCUGUUGUAAUGAUAAUAAAUAUUUGCACUGUGUACAAUGUAAACUAUAACACAAAGGAUGUCCUAAAUAUUGAGGACAGCACAAAUGACUUAGUCUUCUGUGUCAUUCUAUCUGAUCCCCACAGCUUAUAUGAGUUUCCAAAACCAGAUCUGAUGGACUAGAGAGAUGGCUCAGCCACUAAGAGAGAUGACUGCCCUAGCAGAAGACCAGAGAUAUCUCUGUUUUCAGCACCCAUGUUGGACAUCUUAGAACCAUCUCUAAAUCCGGCUCUAGGUGAUCCAAUGUCUUCUUCCCAGACUCCAAGGGCACCUGUACUCAAGUGCACAAACCCACAUUUUAAAAAAAAAUAUGUAUAUUAAAAUAUAAUAAAAAUAAUCUCAAAAA
ensembl:lincRNA 1700023G09Rik RIKEN cDNA 1700023G09 gene